UCUAAAAACAUUGUAUCUUUUUAAGCUGGUAUUUCUUUUGGUAAUAUUUGACUAAUAUUUCUCUACAACUCUGACAUGACACAGAUAUUAGCCAAAUAUGGUCAAUUGAAGUACCCUAAUUAAUGAGGAUAAGCAAUCUUGGGUCACAUGGUAAGGUUCAGGCCAGUAACCAACUUCUCUUCACCUUACUAUGGACUUCAGGAUUGUUUGAUCCUAGGUCCGUACAUCUGACACAUUAGUGACAAAAAAAUUUGAGUUAAGUAGCUGGUUAACAUGCCAAUUUCAUUAAUAAACUACUUAAAUAUAAGCUGCUUUGAAGAAGCACAAGUUUCUUUUAACACUUUCGCGACCGGGCAAAAUUUUGAACAAUACCCCAGAAACCGGUCGUCUAUAGCUGCUUAUAAAACAACCCGCUGGGCGGGUUGUCCGGCAUCUGAGCAAAGUUCACGAGUGCCUACCAGGCGGGUUCUCGGUAGUCAAAGUGUUAAGUUAACACACUUUUCUGGAGCAUAUGCUAGGGGAUAUGACAUCCAAAAAAUAUGUAAUUUUUUUGUCUAUUAAGUUUCAUUAUUUGUUUUGGCAAAUUUUUCUGUGCAUAUUUUAACUCUUGUGUCUUCAUAACCUCUAUGCAUCAGACAAUCCUGGAAUGCUCUGGCAAUUUGAAAUGUUGACGGAGUGCUAUCAGGUGUGGAAAUAUCACUUUAACUUGGCCUCAGGAGGAUAUCAAUAAUUUCACAAAUAACAUCAUUAGUUAUUACAAAAAUUGUGAGAUGGUGUAAAAUUGCAUUUUAUUAACUAAUUUUAUUUGUGUAGUACUUAAAUAAGGAUUGAAAACCAAAUAAUAAAAACAAAAUUAAGGACAAGUCAAGUAGUAAAGGAUAGUAUAAAACUGAGUGAUUAUCUAGUAUUAGUUUUAGUUUGGUAUUUCAAAGUUAAAUCUCAUUUAUGUAGGUAUUUCAUAGUUGACUCUCUGACAAAACUGUUUUGAGCUAUUUGAAAAAUGUAGUUUGUAUUCUAAGUACCUAGUACUUGCAAGUGUAUUUUUUCUUGUAAAUUAAUAAUUUAAUUGUUAUUUUACUUCAUAAAAAUUUGUAUGAAAAAUUACAUUGAAUCAACUUAUCAAGUGCAGACACUGUUUAUUUCCAUUUUAUUAGUAAUUGUAACAAAGCCUGCAUUAGGUACAUAUUUAUUUUCAUUAAUGUAAAUAAAAUAAACAAUGUUUUUUGUUAUA